rnacentral:rRNA from 1 species
GGUUAAGCGACUAAGCGUACACGGUGGAUGCCCUGGCAGUCAGAGGCGAUGAAGGACGUGCUAAUCUGCGAAAAGCGUCGGUAAGGUGAUAUGAACCGUUAUAGCCGGCGAUGUCCGAAUGGGGAAACCCAGUGCAAUUCGUUGCACUAUCGUUAACUGAAUACAUAGGUUAACGAGGCGAACCGGGGGAACUGAAACAUCUAAGUACCCCGAGGAAAAGAAAUCAACCGAGAUUCCCCCAGUAGCGGCGAGCGAACGGGGAGCAGCCCAGAGUCUGAAUCAGCUUGUGUGUUAGUGGAACGGUCUGGAAAGUCCGACGGUACAGGGUGAUAGUCCCGUACACCAAAAUGCACAGGCUGUGAACUCGAAGAGUAGGGCGGGACACGUGGUAUCCUGUCUGAAUAUGGGGGGACCAUCCUCCAAGGCUAAAUACUCCUGACUGACCGAUAGUGAACCAGUACCGUGAGGGAAAGGCGAAAAGAACCCCGGCGAGGGGAGUGAAAAAGAACCUGAAACCGUGUACGUACAAGCAGUGGGAGCACCUUCGGGUGUGACUGCGUACCUUUUGUAUAAUGGGUCAGCGACUUAUAUUCUGUAGCAAGGUUAACCGUAUAGGGGAGCCGCAGGGAAACCGAGUCUUAACUGGGCGUUAAGUUGCAGGGUAUAGACCCGAAACCCGGUGAUCUAGCCAUGGGCAGGUUGAAGGUUGGGUAACACUAACUGGAGGACCGAACCGACUAAUGUUGAAAAAUUAGCGGAUGACUUGUGGCUGGGGGUGAAAGGCCAAUCAAACCGGGAGAUAGCUGGUUCUCCCCGAAAGCUAUUUAGGUAGCGCCUCGUGAAUUCAUCUUCGGGGGUAGAGCACUGUUUCGGCUAGGGGGUCAUCCCGACUUACCAACCCGAUGCAAACUACGAAUACCGAAGAAUGUUAUCACGGGAGACACACGGCGGGUGCUAACGUCCGUCGUGAAGAGGGAAACAACCCAGACCGCCAGCUAAGGUCCCAAAGUCAUGGUUAAGUGGGAAACGAUGUGGGAAGGCACAGACAGCCAGGAUGUUGGCUUAGAAGCAGCCAUCAUUUAAAGAAAGCGUAAUAGCUCACUGGUCGAGUCGGCCUGCGCGGAAGAUGUAACGGGGCUAAACCAUGCACCGAAGCUGCGGCAGCGACACUAUGUGUUGUUGGGUAGGGGAGCGUUCUGUAAGCCUGCGAAGGUGUGCUGUGAGGCAUGCUGGAGGUAUCAGAAGUGCGAAUGCUGACAUAAGUAACGAUAAAGCGGGUGAAAAGCCCGCUCGCCGGAAGACCAAGGGUUCCUGUCCAACGUUAAUCGGGGCAGGGUGAGUCGACCCCUAAGGCGAGGCCGAAAGGCGUAGUCGAUGGGAAACAGGUUAAUAUUCCUGUACUUGGUGUUACUGCGAAGGGGGGACGGAGAAGGCUAUGUUAGCCGGGCGACGGUUGUCCCGGUUUAAGCAUGUAGGCUGAUUGUCCAGGCAAAUCCGGAUAAUCAAGGCUGAGGUGUGAUGACGAGGCACUACGGUGCUGAAGUAACAAAUGCCCUGCUUCCAGGAAAAGCCUCUAAGCAUCAGGUAACAUCAAAUCGUACCCCAAACCGACACAGGUGGUCAGGUAGAGAAUACCAAGGCGCUUGAGAGAACUCGGGUGAAGGAACUAGGCAAAAUGGUGCCGUAACUUCGGGAGAAGGCACGCUGGUGUGUAGGUGAAGUCCCUGCGGAUGGAGCUGAGACCAGUCGAAGAUACCAGCUGGCUGCAACUGUUUAUUAAAAACACAGCACUGUGCAAACACGAAAGUGGACGUAUACGGUGUGACGCCUGCCCGGUGCCGGAAGGUUAAUUGAUGGGGUUAUCCGUAAGGAGAAGCUCUUGAUCGAAGCCCCGGUAAACGGCGGCCGUAACUAUAACGGUCCUAAGGUAGCGAAAUUCCUUGUCGGGUAAGUUCCGACCUGCACGAAUGGCGUAAUGAUGGCCAGGCUGUCUCCACCCGAGACUCAGUGAAAUUGAACUCGCUGUGAAGAUGCAGUGUACCCGCGGCAAGACGGAAAGACCCCGUGAACCUUUACUAUAGCUUGACACUGAACAUUGAGCCUUGAUGUGUAGGAUAGGUGGGAGGCUUUGAAGCGUGGACGCCAGUCUGCGUGGAGCCAACCUUGAAAUACCACCCUUUAAUGUUUGAUGUUCUAACGUUGGCCCCUUACCGGGGUUGCGGACAGUGUCUGGUGGGUAGUUUGACUGGGGCGGUCUCCUCCCAAAGCGUAACGGAGGAGCACGAAGGUUAGCUAAUCCUGGUCGGACAUCAGGAGGUUAGUGCAAUGGCAUAAGCUAGCUUGACUGCGAGCGUGACGGCGCGAGCAGGUGCGAAAGCAGGUCAUAGUGAUCCGGUGGUUCUGAAUGGAAGGGCCAUCGCUCAACGGAUAAAAGGUACUCCGGGGAUAACAGGCUGAUACCGCCCAAGAGUUCAUAUCGACGGCGGUGUUUGGCACCUCGAUGUCGGCUCAUCACAUCCUGGGGCUGAAGUAGGUCCCAAGGGUAUGGCUGUUCGCCAUUUAAAGUGGUACGCGAGCUGGGUUUAGAACGUCGUGAGACAGUUCGGUCCCUAUCUGCCGUGGGCGCUGGAGAAUUGAGGGGGGCUGCUCCUAGUACGAGAGGACCGGAGUGGACGCAUCACUGGUGUUCGGGUUGUCAUGCCAAUGGCACUGCCCGGUAGCUAAAUGCGGAAGAGAUAAGUGCUGAAAGCAUCUAAGCACGAAACUUGCCCCGAGAUGAGUUCUCCCUGAGACUUUAAGUCUCCUGAAGGAACGUUGAAGACGACGACGUUGAUAGGCCGGGUGUGUAAGCGCAGCGAUGCGUUGAGCUAACCGGUACUAAUGAACCGUGAGGCUUAACCUU